rnacentral:lncRNA from 1 species
AAAAAUUGAAAAGAGCAUCCAAACUCUUGCAUUGUAAAUCAAAAGUCACUUUGUAAAACUUUAAUAAAUUUAUUUUCUUCCUCCUUCAACUAUCUUGUUCAAUUAAAUUACUCCUAUCAUUUCUAUCCCACAUCUACUUAACCACUUCUAUCUAAACUCAUUUAUUUUUUCUACUCAUAGUAAAAAACCUUUAGUGGUAUCAAAGCUACGUUCGAUUGAUAUUGGGCAUAAGCAGAUCUAUUUACAAAGGCGCUACGACGAGCAAAGUUUGAGUUACUACGAGAAAUGAUCGAAGUAAUCAAAAUAUGUACCAAGGAGGAGUAUUAAUGGUUGUUGCAUAUUUUAAGAUUACUCUAGAAUUCACUAGAAUUGCCUCGGGGAGCAAGAAAAUAGAAGUCCCUAGAAUUUUUUGAUGAGCAAGUAAAAAUAGUAAUUUAAAAUUAAAAAAUCAGAAUUUUCUAGAAUGUCUUGAGAAAUAAGUAAUAAAGUAAUAAAAAAAUUAAAAUUUUCCUGAAUAGUUAUCACCACCAUUUUGUGUGUAAAAAUAGGGGCUACCGCCUCCAAAAUGUUGUAACAAAAACAAAAAAUUGAAAAGAGCAUCCAAACUCUUGCAUUUUAAAUCAAAAG